AUUGAACGCUGGCGGCAUGCCUUACACAUGCAAGUCGAACGGUAACAGGUCUUCGGAUGCUGACGAGUGGCGAACGGGUGAGUAAUACAUCGGAACGUGCCUAGUAGUGGGGGAUAACUACUCGAAAGAGUGGCUAAUACCGCAUGAGAUCUACGGAUGACAGCAGGGGAUCGCAAGACCUUGUGCUACUAGAGCGGCCGAUGGCAGAUUAGGUAGUUGGUGGGAUAAAAGCUUACCAAGCCGACGAUCUGUAGCUGGUCUGAGAGGACGAUCAGCCACACUGGGACUGAGACACGGCCCAGACUCCUACGGGAGGCAGCAGUGGGGAAUUUUGGACAAUGGGCGCAAGCCUGAUCCAGCAAUGCCGCGUGCAGGAUGAAGGCCUUCGGGUUGUAAACUGCUUUUGUACGGAACGAAAAGCCCUGGGUUAAUACCCUGGGGUCAUGACGGUACCGUAAGAAUAAGCACCGGCUAACUACGUG
rnacentral:rRNA from 1 species